rnacentral:rRNA from 1 species
AUUGAACGCUGGCGGCAGGCCUAACACAUGCAAGUCGAGCGAGCGGCGGACGGGUGAGUAAUGUCUGGGAAUCUGCCCGAUAGAGGGGGAUAACUACUGGAAACGGUGGCUAAUACCGCAUACUAUCGGAUGAACCCAGAUGGGCUUAGCUAGUAGGUGGGGUAAAGGCUCACCUAGGCGACGAUCCCUAGCUGGUCUGAGAGGAUGAUCAGCCACACGGUGACGGAGACACGGCCCAGACUCCUACGGGAGGCAGCAGUGGGGAAUAUUGCACAAUGGGCGCAAGCCUGAUGCAGCCAGGCCGCGUUUAUGAAGAAGGCCUUCGGGUUGUAAAGUACUUUCAGCGGGGAGGCGUUACCCGCAGAAGAAGCACCGGCUAACUCCGUGCCAGCAGCCGCGGUAAUUC